rnacentral:ncRNA from 1 species
GUCUUCGGGGCAGGGUGCGAUUCCCUACCGGCGGUACAGUCCGCGAGCCGCGUGCGCGGCAUGAACCGGUGCGAUUCCGGUACCGACAGUAUAGUCUGGAUGGAAGAAGACG